rnacentral:rRNA from 1 species
AAAACGACUCUCGGCAACGGAUAUCUCGGCUCUCGCAUCGAUGAAGAACGUAGCGAAAUGCGAUACUUGGUGUGAAUUGCAGAAUCCCGUGAACCAUCGAGUUUUUGAACGCAAGUUGGCGCCCCAAGCCUUCUGGCCGAGGGCACGUCUGCCUGGGUGUCACAAAU